rnacentral:rRNA from 1 species
UUUUUAUGAGAGUUUGAUCCUAGCUCAGGAUGAACGCUGGCGGCGUGGAUAAGGCAUGCAAGUCGAACGCCCCGCAAGGGGAGUGGCAGACGAGGUAGUAAUACGCAGGAACGCACCCGAAAGUCGAGGAUAGCUCGCCGAAAGGCGGGGUAACCCCCGAUGUGAUGGAAACAUCAAAAAUUUAUUGCUUUCGGAGCGGCCUACGGGCUAUCAGCUUGUUGGUAGGGUAAUGGCCUACCAAGGCGAUGACGGCUAGGGGAGCUGAGAGGCUGACCCCCACCGAUGGUACUGAGACACGGACCAUACACCUACGGGUGGCUGCAGUCGAGAAUCUUCCGCAAUGGACGAAAGUCUGACGGAGCGACGCCGCGUGAUGGAUGAAGUCCCUCUGGGACGUAAACAUCUUUUAUGAGCCACUAAGUUUAUUGAAGAGCUCAUGAAUAAGGGGUUGCUAAACUCGUGCCAGCAGCAGCGGUAAUACGAGUGCCCCAAGCGUUAUCCGGAAUCACUGGGCGUAAAGCGUGUGUAGGCGGUUUUGUUAGUCUUUCGUUAAAUUCUUCGGCUUAACCGGGGGCAUGCGAAGGAAACGGCAAAACUUGAAGGUGCAAGGGGUUUAUGGAACUCAUGGAGUAGGGGUGAAAUCCGUUGAUAUCAUGGGGAACACCAAAAGCGAAGGCAGUAAACUGGUGCACUCUUGACGCUGAAACACGAAAGCGUAGGUAGCGAAUGGGAUUAGAUACCCCAGUAGUCUACGCCCUAAACGAUGAUCGCUAGCUUUUCGGAGUAUCGACCCUCUGAGAGGCGAAGCUAACGCGUUAAGCGAUCCGCCUGGGUAGUACGGCCGCAAGGCUAAAACUCAAAGGAAUAGACGGGGACUUGCACAAGCAGAGGAUUAUGUGGUUUAAUUCGAUGGUAAACGAAAAACCUUACCAAGAUUAGAAAUGCAUUCGAAUCCCAGAGGAAACUUUGGGAGCCGCAAGGCGGAUGCACAGGUGAUGCAUGGCCGUCGUCAGUUCGUGAUUUGAGUUGUUCCCUUCAGUGGGGUAACGAACGCAACCCUCGUUGCCUGUUAUAUUUGUCAGGCGAGACUGCCCCUUUUCAGGGGAGGAAGGUGAGGAUGACGCCAGGUCAGCAUGUCCCUCUGAUAUCUUGGGCUACACACAUAAUACAAUCGUCGGUACAACGGGUCGCAAUGGAGUAAUCCGGAGCUAAUCCUUAUAAAGCCGGCGUCAGUUCAGAUUGGGGGCUGAAACUCGACCCCAUGAAGUUGGAUUUGCUAGUAAUCGCGGGUCAGCUAUACCGCGGUGAAUACGUUCUCAAGUCUUGUACUCACCGCCCGUCAACUCAAGGGAGUUGGGAGUACCCGAAGACCUACCUCGCGUGGGUUUAAGGUAAGCUCAAUGACAGGGAGUAAGUCGUAACAAGGCACGGGUAGCGGAAGCUGC